AGAGUAAAGUGGCGCACGGGUGAGUAUCGCGUGGGUAAUCUACCCCUGGAUUCAGGAUAACACUUCGAAAGGGGUGCUAAUACUGGAUAAUAUCCUGAUGGUUUAGGCCAUAAGGAUCAAAGAUAGCCUCUACAUGUAAGCUAUUGUACAGGGAUGAGCCCGCGUACCAUUAGCUAGUUGGUGGGGUAAGGGCCUACCAAGGCAACGAUGGUUAGCUGGUCUGAGAGGAUGAUCAGCCACACUGGAACUGAAACACGGUCCAGACUCCUACGGGAGGCAGCAGUGAGGAAUUUUGCGCAAUGGGGGAAACCCUGACGCAGCAACGCCGCGUGAGUGAAGAAGGCUUUCGGGUCGUAAAGCUCUGUCAAGAGGGAAGAAAGUGGAAGGUGGUAAUACUGUUUUCUAUUGACGGUACCUCUGAAGGAAGCACCGGCUAACUCCGUGCCAGCAGCCGCGGUAAUACGGGGGGUGCAAGCGUUAUUCGGAUUUAUUGGGCGUAAAGAGCGCGUAGGCGGUUUAUCAAGUCAGAUGUGAAAGCCCUGGGCUCAACCUGGGAAGUGCAUUUGAAACUAGUAGACUUGAGUAUGGGAGAGGGGAGUGGAAUUCCUGGUGUAGAGGUGAAAUUCGUAGAUAUCAGGAGGAACACCGGUGGCGAAGGCGACUUCCUGGACCAAUACUGACGCUGAGGCGCGAAGGCGUGGGGAGCAAACAGGAUUAGAUACCCUGGUAGUCCACGCAGUAAACGGUGAUCACUAGGUGUAGCGGGUAUUGACCC
rnacentral:rRNA from 1 species